AUUGAACGCUGGCGGCAUGCCUUACACAUGCAAGUCGAACGGCAGCACGGGAGCAAUCCUGGUGGCGAGUGGCGAACGGGUGAGUAAUAUAUCGGAACGUGCCCAGUCGUGGGGGAUAACGUAGCGAAAGCUACGCUAAUACCGCAUACGAUCUAUGGAUGAAAGCGGGGGAUCGCAAGACCUCGCGCGAUUGGAGCGGCCGAUAUCAGAUUAGGUAGUUGGUGAGGUAAAGGCUCACCAAGCCGACGAUCUGUAGCUGGUCUGAGAGGACGACCAGCCACACUGGGACUGAGACACGGCCCAGACUCCUACGGGAGGCAGCAGUGGGGAAUUUUGGACAAUGGGCGCAAGCCUGAUCCAGCAAUGCCGCGUGCAGGAUGAAGGCCUUCGGGUUGUAAACUGCUUUUGUACGGAACGAAACGGCGAGCUCUAAUACAGUUUGCUAAUGACGGUACCGUAAGAAUAAGCACCGGCUAACUACGUGCCAGCAGCCGCAGUAA
rnacentral:rRNA from 1 species